rnacentral:rRNA from 1 species
UGGGGAAUAUUGCACAAUGGGCGCAAGCCUGAUGCAGCCAUGCCGCGUGUGUGAAGAAGGCCUUCGGGUUGUAAAGCACUUUCAGCGAGGAGGAAGGUGGUGGACUUAAUACGUUCAUCAAUUGACGUUACUCGCAGAAGAAGCACCGGCUAACUCCGUGCCAGCAGCCGCGGUAAUACGGAGGGUGCAAGCGUUAAUCGGAAUUACUGGGCGUAAAGCGCACGCAGGCGGUUUGUUAAGUCAGAUGUGAAAUCCCCGGGCUCAACCUGGGAACUGCAUUUGAAACUGGCAAGCUAGAGUCUCGUAGAGGGGGGUAGAAUUCCAGGUGUAGCGGUGAAAUGCGUAGAGAUCUGGAGGAAUACCGGUGGCGAAGGCGGCCCCCUGGACGAAGACUGACGCUCAGGUGCGAAAGCGUGGGGCAGCAAACAGGAUUAGAUACCCUGGUAGUCCAGCGCUGUAAACGAUGUCGAUUUGGAGGUUGUGCCCUUGAGGCGUGGCUUCCGGAGCUAACGCGUUAAAGUCGACCG